UUCUUACUGUGAAUACAUUUGGAUGUAUAUAUUUCAUGGUUAUUGAACAGUCUUCCUCCACACCAUUUUGCAUGUGUUCAUGGCAGUCAGGUAGAUACACUUCAGCCACUGUCUUGGCGUGGCCUCCUGUGGUUUAGGAAUGAGGGAGCUGGGACAAUUGAGGAGGCAAAUGGCAGCAUCAAAGUCAGAUGACUGACCCAAGGCCACCUCACAAUUCUAUAACAUUUGGCUUAGACACUGUAAGUUAGGACAAGAAGGAGCUUUGGAAAUGACCUUGCUGGGCAUCUCUUUAUGUUUGAAGACACUGAACUGAGAGGAGGCGGCUCUUGCCGUAGGCCCCUGAGGCCAUCACUGGCAAGUAGGACCUGGAACCCAGGAAUCCUGAUUCUUUGUCCAGAGCUUUUUCUGCUCUUUCACAAAACACCAUCUUGCCUUCUUAGAAGAGUGUGAAGAAUUUGGAGAGAUUUCACUGAUCGUGGUGACACAGAGGUUAGAAGGCCGUUGAGUUCAGCUUAUGGUGAUGGAAAGAGAGAUGUCAAUAAUUCCACAUUUUCUGGCUUGCAUUGUUUGAUGAAAGGUGACCCCAUUCCCUGAGUUAAAGAAUGCUGAAAGAAGACCAGGCUUGAGGAGGAAGGAUCAUGCAUUUGCUUUUGGACCUGUAGAGUUUGAGGACAUGUUCAGCACCAGGAGGAAUUUGCAUCCAAGUCCGUCUCCCUGCUAAGUGGUAUUUUGAGAAUUCCGAAGCUUAGUCUCAGAGAAGAGCUGACCUGAACUUGCCGAGGCUCCCACUGCAUUGUAGCUUUUCUCUGGAGAACAAAAACUGCCAUUGUCCAGCAGCUCAUUAGCAUGACUGUACAGCCUCCGGAGUUAGCAAGGUGAUGCAAAAAUAAUAUGACAAGAUCCAUGUCUUCAAUGAGCUACAAUCCUACUGGGACAUGAGACUGUGCUUAUAAUAUGAUGAAAGAAUAAGAAAAUUUUAAAGGGGACGCAGACAUUUGUAGCUGCUUCUAGAAGACACUGAGUGGACCCUUUGGGAAGUCACUCUCUGGAGGUGGUGCUGAGAAUGUAAAUGAAGCUUUCCGGCUCCUGGGAAGUUAUAGACUUGUUCUUGGAGGCAAGAGAAGCCACAGACUGGAGCAGCUGAAAAUUUCCCAAGUGAUAGACUGGGGCAAGGGACAGGCAAGGUGGAAGGUACAGCUGUAAUGAGAGAUGCCCCAGGAGGAACAGUUGCCAGAAGACACUGCUGGCAGCCCCUGUGAAGGGGAGCAGCUGGAAACCAGCAUUGGGAGCAGCAUGGAACAGCAUGAAGAGGGGGCUCUGGCUUGGGCUGGCCCCAGCCUGAUUUUCCCUGGGGGGAGGGGAGGGCUGUGCUAAUUAUCUGCUCAAUAUCAAGACGGCACCUGGAAAUAAAUAUUUUGUUGUAAAUAAUAAUGAUAACUAUUUUCAUUAUUAUUCCAUUGACUGAAGAGAGGAAAAGACAAAUCCAAAGCCCACCAAGU
rnacentral:lncRNA from 10 species